CUGUCCUGCCUAGGGCGUGUCUCAUGUGGAUGACGCGGCUCCGGGGGCAGCUGUUUAGACGUCCGUUACUCCUGCUCUAGGAGACUUCCUGAGCCACUGGGACCGAGUCAAGGACUGUUGCAUGAGUUUGAGUGCAAGUUCUGUGUAGAGGAGCUCUGGGGGGCUACAGGGGGCAGGGCGGUGGGGGUGGUUCUAGAGAAGGUGAGUGGACGGCGUAAGGAAUGUAAGGGUAUGCCAGGGCGGCAGAAAGCAAGUUUUCAGAUUCCCCAGAUAUCCCCCCAAAUGGCUGUGCUUCCUCAGGGUGUCCUGGGCACGGUAGAUUACACAACAAAGAGUGGAAUUCUGGGGUCCUGUGUUAUGCCUACCCAAGACUUCUGAGGAAAAAA